UACGUAGGGAGCAAGCGUUGUCCGGAAUCAUUGGGCGUAAAGCGCGCGUAGGUGGCCCGGUAAGUCCGCUCUGAAAGUCAAAGGCUCAACCUUUGAAAGCGGGUGGAUACUGCCAGGCUAGAGUCCGGAAGAGGCGAGUGGAAUUCCUGGUGUAGCGGUGGAAUGCGCAGAUAUCAGGAGGAACACCAACGGCGAAGGCAGCUCGCUGGGACGGUACUGACACUGAGGCGCGAAAGCGUGGGGAGCGAACGG
rnacentral:rRNA from 1 species